rnacentral:tRNA from 1 species
GAGGCUGUAGCUCAAGUGGUAGAGCGUAUGCUUAGCAUGCACGAGGUCCUAGGUUCAAUCCCCAGUAUCUUCA